CCUAAUACAUGCAAGUCGAGCGGACAGAUGGGGGCUUGCUCCCUGAUGUUAGCGGCGGACGGGUGAGUAACACGUGGGUAACCUGCCUGUAAGACUGGGAUAACUCCGGGAAACCGGGGCUAAUACCGGAUGGUUGUUUGAACCGCAUGGUUCAGACAUAAAAGGUGGCUUCGGCUACCACUUACAGAUGGACCCGCGGCGCAUUAGCUAGUUGGUGAGGUAACGGCUCACCAAGGCAACGAUGCGUAGCCGACCUGAGAGGGUGAUCGGCCACACUGGGACUGAGACACGGCCCAGACUCCUACGGGAGGCAGCAGUAGGGAAUCUUCCGCAAUGGACGAAAGUCUGACAGAGCAACGCCGCGUAAGUGAUGAAGGUUUUCGGAUCGUAAAGCUCUGUUGUUAGGGAAGAACAAGUGCCGUUCAAAUAGGGCGGCACCUUGACGGUACCUAACCAGAAAGCCACGGCUAACUACGUGCCAGCAGCCGCGGUAAUACGUANGUGGCAAGCGUUGUCCGGAAUUAUUGGGCGUAAAGGGCUCGCAGGCGGUUUCUUAAGUCUGAUGUGAAAGCCCCCGGCUCAACCGGGGAGGGUCAUUGGAAACUGGGGAACUUGAGUGCAGAAGAGGAGAGUGGNAUUCCACGUGUAGCGGUGAAAUGCGUAGAGAUGUGGAGGAACACCAGUGGNGAANGCGACUCUCUGGUCUGUAACUGACGCUGAGGAGCGAAAGCGUGGGGAGCGAACAGGAUUAGAUACCCU
rnacentral:rRNA from 1 species